GUCUCUGGUAGCCCGGGCUGACCUUGAACUUCUCAUCCUCCCCUUCUACCUUCAAGUGCUGAGAUCCUCUGUGCACACUGUGUUUACAGUGCUGGGGGCUGAUGGGAGAGCUUUGUGCAUGUCAGGCCAGCAUUCUACCACCUGAGCUACACAGCCCCUGGUGUUUCUGUAGCUCCGUCCAAAGCCCCAGGCUGCUGACUGACCUAGCUAUCCUUAGUGAUGAACAGCUCUCCUGGGGACCCGGGCAACACUGAAGAUGUGUCAAAAGGAUGAGGGAGACUGUACCCGCAGACCUCAGCAUGGACAUCCACCCGGAGGGAGACUGUACCCACAGUCCUCAGCGUGGACACCCACCCGGAGGGAGACUGUACCCGCAGACCUCAGCGUGGACACCCACCCGGAGGGAGACUGUACCCGCAGACCUCAGCGUGGACACCCACCCGGAGGGAGACUGUACCCGCAGACCUCAGCGUGGACACCCACCCGGAGGGAGACUGUACCCGCAGACCUCAGCGUGGACACCCACCCGGAGGGAGACUGUACCCGCAGACCUCAGCGUGGACACCCACCCGGAGGGAGACUGUACCCGCAGACCUCAGCGUGGACACCCACCCGGAGGGAGACUGUACCCGCAGACCUCAGCGUGGACACCCACCCGGAGGGAGACUGUACCCGCAGACCUCAGCGUGGACACCCACCCGGAGGGAGACUGUACCCGCAGACCUCAGCGUGGACACCCACCCGGAGGGAGACUGUACCCGCAGACCUCAGCGUGGACAUCCACCCGGAGGGAGACUGUACCCACAGUCCUCAGCAUGCCAAUCCACCCAGGAGCUCUGUGCUGCCUUCCAGAGGCUCUGCUCACCAAGAAGCUUCUCAAUUUGAAGCAAUUGAAGACUGCUGGUUAUGUAGCUAGGCUACUGAAGCUCAUACCUAAACAAGCACAAAUCCCAGAGUCCCAUCUCAGCGCCACAUGAAGCAGGGAUGCCUGGUGUUGCACACCUGUCGUCACUACAUUUGGGAGGUCGAGAGACGAUCAGAAGUUCGAGGUCAUCCUUGACGAGUGACUUUGAAGUUGUUGCCUCAAAAAAAGAAGAGUUGACCUCGUAAGAUGUUGCUAACCUGCUUUCCCAGCAGAUGUAAGCCGCGACCACCCGUUCUCCUAACGUCCCAUGACAGACGAAGCAUGGCUCCACCAAGGCUCACUCUGGGGAGCUAUGACCAUGCGUCAUGUUGACAGGGGGUGGACUCGGGAUGGCUAGUUUUGAUUGUCCAUCUGACUACAUCUGGAAUUAACUAAAAACCCCCAAAUGGACACACCUGCGAGGUAUUUUUUGCUUAAUUUGAAAUGAGAAGAUCC
rnacentral:lncRNA from 1 species